rnacentral:ncRNA from 1 species
AAUAUGCUUCGGGGGUGGGUGAAAUUCCCUACCGGCAGUUAAAGUCUGCGAGCUCAUAACGAAAUAAUAGUGAUAAUCACUAUUAUUUCGUAUUAGGAGAAUUGCAAAGCAAUUCUCUGAAAUCUAACAUUUUAUAUUUAUAAAGCGGUAACGUUAAUGAAUAUAAAUCUUAGUGGGCAUGAUCGGGUGUAAUUCCCGGACCGACGGUAUAAAGUGCUACGCACUUAUUAUGAAGUACUUCGUACUUCUUAAAAGUUAGUUACGCUUUGAUAGUCCGGAUGAGAGAGGCAAAGU